rnacentral:rRNA from 1 species
AAUCAACGCUGGCGGCGUGCCUAACACAUGCAAGUCGCACGAGAAAGUGGAGCAAUCCAUGAGUAAAGUGGCGCACGGGUGAGUAACACGUGACUAACCUACCCUAGAGUGGGGGAUAACCUCGGGAAACCGGGGCUAAUACCGCAUAACCUCGUGAGGUGAAAUUCCUUGCGAGCAAAGCCGAAAGGCGCUUUUGGAGGGGGUCGCGGCUGAUUAGCUAGUUGGCGGGGUAACGGCCCACCAAGGCGAUGAUCAGUAUCCGGCCUGAGAGGGCGCACGGACACACUGGAACUGAAACACGGUCCAGACUCCUACGGGAGGCAGCAGUGGGGAAUUGUGCGCAAUGGGGGAAACCCUGACGCAGCAACGCCGCGUGGAGGAUGAAGUCCCUUGGGACGUAAACUCCUUUCGACCCGGACGAAUAAUGACGGUACGGGUGGAAGAAGCCCCGGCUAACUUCGUGCCAGCCGCCGCAGUAAGAC